rnacentral:snoRNA from 1 species
CCCAGUGGUUGUCAGCUAUCCAGGCUAAUGUGGUGCCUUGGAUGGUGUUACACUGUUGGAAGAGCAAACGCUGCCUUUAUUGAGGUCUGGGUCCAAGCACUGUUUUGGUGUUGUGGCUAAGUACUCCCGGGCAGCGUUUUGCACCUCUGAGAGUGGAGUAACUCCUUCUGUGGAGUUGGUCCUAGUCUGGGUGCAAACAGU